rnacentral:rRNA from 1 species
UACGAAGGGGGCUAGCGUUGCUCGGAAUCACUGGGCGUAAAGCGCACGUAGGCGGAUUUGUAAGUCAGGGGUGAAAUCCCGGGGCUCAACCUCGGAACUGCCUUUGAUACUGCGAAUCUCGAGUCCGAUAGAGGUGGGUGGAAUUCCUAGUGUAGAGGUGAAAUGCGUAGAUAUUGGGAGGAACACCAGUGGCGAAGGCGGCUCACUGGACCGGUUCUGACGCUGAGGCGCGAAAGCGUGGGGAGCAAACGGG